rnacentral:rRNA from 1 species
UUUUGGGCAAUGGGCGAAAGCCUGACCCAGCAACGCCGCGUGAGGGAUGAAGUAUUUCGGUAUGUAAACCUCGAAAGAAUGGGAAGAAUAAAUGACGGUACCAUUUAUAAGCUCCGGCUAACUACGUGCCAGCAGCCGCGGUAAUACGUAGGGAGCAAGCGUUGUUCGGAUUUACUGGGCGUAAAGGGCGCGUAGGCGGCGCGGUAAGUCACUUGUGAAAUCUCUGAGCUUAACUCAGAACGGCCAAGUGAUACUGCUGUGCUAGAGUGCGGAAGAGGCAACCGGAAUUCUUGGUGUAGCGGUGAAAUGCGUAGAUAUCAAAAGGAACACCUGAGGCGAAGGCGGGUUGCUGAGC